rnacentral:tRNA from 1 species
GGCCUAUUAGCUCAAUGGUGGAGCAACCGGCUGUUAACCGGUAGGUUGUAGGUUCGAGUCCUACAUAGGCCGCCA